AUUGAACGCUGGCGGCAGGCCUAACACAUGCAAGUCGAACGGUAACAGGAAGAAGCUUGCUUCUUUGCUGACGAGUGGCGGACGGGUGAGUAAUGUCUGGGAAACUGCCUGAUGGAGGGGGAUAACUACUGGAAACGGUAGCUAAUACCGCAUAACGUCGCAAGACCAAAAAGGGGGACCUUCGGGCCUCUUGCCAGCGGAUGUGCCCAGAUGGGAUUAGCUAGUAGGUGGGGUAACGGCUCACCUAGGCGACGAUCCCUAGCUGGUCUGAGAGGAUGACCAGCCACACUGGAACUGAGACACGGUCCAGACUCCUACGGGAGGCAGCAGUGGGGAAUAUUGGACAAUGGGCGCAAGCCUGAUGCAGCCAUGCCGCGUGUAUGAAGAAGGCCUUCGGGUUGUAAAGUACUUUCAGCGGGGAGGAAGGGAGUAAAGUUAAUACCUUUGCUCAUUGACGUUACCCGCAGAAGAAGCACCGGCUAACUCCGUG
rnacentral:rRNA from 1 species